rnacentral:rRNA from 1 species
UACGGAGGAGGCAAGCGUUAUCCGGAAUUAUUGGGCGUAAAGCGUCCGUAGAUGGUUUUGUCAGUCUGCUGUCAAAGCACAGGGCUUAACCCUGUAAAGGCAGUGGAAACUACAAGACUAGAGUGCAGUAGGGGCAGAGGGAAUUCCCAGUGUAGCGGUGAAAUGCGUAGAGAUUGGGAAGAACACCGGUGGCGAAGGCGGUCUGCUGGGCAGUUGCUGACACUGAGGCGCGACAGCGUGGGGAACAAACAGG